UAUCUCUGUAGAGUCUGCAUAUCAAUAAGCGGAGGAAAAGAAACUAACAAGGAUUCCCUUAGUAACGGCGAGUGAAGCGGGAAGAGCUCAAAUUUGAAAUCUUCAAGGUUCUACCUUGACGAAUUGUAGUUUAAAGAAGUGUUUUCUGUUAGAUGAGUAGCAAAAGUUCCUUGGAAUGGGACAUCAUAGAGGGUGAGAAUCCCGUAUUUGGUUAUUCAUUCUAGCUUUGUGAUACACUUUCAAAGAGUCGGAUUGUUUGGGAAUGCAGUCCAAAAUGGGUGGUAAAUUUCAUCUAAAGCUAAAUAUUGGCGAGAGACCGAUAGCGAACAAGUACCGUGAGGGAAAGAUGAAAAGAACUUUGAAAAGAGAGUUAAACAGUACGUGAAAUUGUCAAAAGGGAAGCGUUUGACACCAGUGUUGUUUUUCCGAAAAUCAAUUACGAAUGGCUUGAUUUUGUGUUGUAUUGACCUUAUCAGCUUUCUUCACUUUUUUCGAGUCUUUCUUAAUGCACUUUUCGGUUAACAAGUCAACAUCAAUUUCUUUUGUUGUAAAAGAGUAUUCGGAAGGUGGCUUUCUUUUCGGAGAAAGUGUUUAUAGCCCUAUACUUCUACAAUCGGAGAGAUUGAGGUCUGCAGCGUAGAUCCUUCGGGGUUAGAUACACUUGUGCUAAGUUGUAGCUUUUCAUAGACAACUUGUUGACUAGUGUUUAGUCAUGCGGCUUACUCGCUUAGUGCUAUUUUACCUACGCUUAGGAUGUUGACUGAUAUGUAGUCGUA
rnacentral:rRNA from 1 species